rnacentral:rRNA from 1 species
GAGCGGUAAGGCUCCUUCGGAGAGUACACGAGCGGCGGACGGCUGAGUAACGCGUUGGAACGUACCCCAAACUGAGGGAUAAGCACCAGAAAUGGUGUCUAAUACCGCAUGUGAUCUUCGGAUUAAAGCUACGGCGGUUUGGGAACGGCCUGCGUAUGAUUAGCUAGUUGGUGAGGUAAUGGCUCACCAAGGCGACGAUCAUUAGCUGGUCUGAGAGGAUGAUCAGCCAGACUGGGACUGAGAACGGCCCAUACUCCUACGGGAGGCAGCAGUAGGGAAUUUUCCACAAUGGGCGAAAGCCUGAUGGAGCAACGCCGCGUGCAGGAUGAAUGCCUUCGGGUUGUAAACUGCUUUUAUCUGUGACGAUUUUGACGGUAGCAGAUGAAUAAGGAUCGGCUAACUCCGUGCCAGCAGCCGCGGUAAU